AAAGCGCUUGGUGGUCACAGAAGAUCGAUUGAGGGAGGCGAUGGUGUCUCUCCAGACACGUUGACAGCGGCGGAUGUGGUGAUUGACAGAUGGAACCGAAAUCUCUCUCUCGUCUGCUGGAAAAAGAGGGGGUUGAUAUCCGAGACUGACCUGGAAUGGUGAUUGACCGGUGGAAGCAGACUUGAGGGAGUUGUGGGCAUAUUCGAUCCAUGUGAGGUAUUGACUCCAGUCAGUGGGGUUGUUGGAGGUCAGACAGCGGAGAGUCGAUUCGAGCUGUUGGUUCAUUCUCUCUGUCUGACCGUUGGACUGUGGAUGAUAACCUGAAGUGAGUGACGACUUACAAUUCAGAGCUGCACAGAAGGCCUUCCAGACUUGGGAGAUAAACUGUGGUCCGCGGUCAGAGAGAAUUUCCUGGGGAAUACCAUGGAGUCGGAAAACGUGCUUCACUAGGAGCUGAGCGGUUUGAAAGGCCGUGGGCAGUUUCCUGAGGGGAAUCAGAUGACAUGACUUCGAAAAUCGAUCGACGAUGGUGCAGGUCUGUUUUUCUUUCUCUCCAUCCUCUACAGGGCUGGACUGGCAGUGAAAGACCUAGAAACCAACGCCUGGGAUCAGAAUCAGAAAAACCCCUGGAAACCUUCUCGUACAAGAGAAGAACCUCUGAUCUUUCUGUCAGCCCUCCUGCCUGCGCUUGCCUGCCUGUUCACCCUUUAGCAAAGCAACACAGAGAGAGAAUCUGGAUCUGCACCAACAACCCGGACAAAUGAACAGCACUUCUACCCCAAGACCAAGCCCAAGGCAGCACCUCAAUGAGUUCACCAGCCAAACAUCAUUUUCACAAAUUGCAAAGCUCAAGUUUUUCACCAUCCUCCCUAUCUUUCCCAGCAGAGCUCACAAGACCCCCGACCAGCUGAAAUUCAAUCUUGUUCAUCUCCAUUUUUUCAAUAAACUUUUCAAAUAUACCAACUGUUGCAGUUAU